GAGGAUCCGAGCGUUAUCCGGAUUUAUUGGGUUUAAAGGGCGCGUAGGUGGGACGUUAAGUCAGUUGUGAAAGUUUGCGGCUCAACCGUAAAAUUGCAGUUGAAACUGGCGUUCUUGAGUGCAGUAGAGGUAGGCGGAAUUCGUGGUGUAGCGGUGAAAUGCUUAGAUAUCACGAAGAACUCCGAUUGCGAAGGCAGCUUACUGGACUGUAACUGACACUGAUGCUCGAAAGUGUGGGUAUCAAA
rnacentral:rRNA from 1 species